UGUAAUAAAAGACCAUAUUACAUUUUCUAAAUGAUACUUUGGAACAGUAAGUUUGUACCUAUUUAUAUGUAAUGUUAAGAUUAUCAAGAUCGCUGUUUUUGUAGGUGUUAAUUUAUUGUGUAUAAAAUUAUAUUGAAGUGCAUUAUCUAAGUGGGUAUAGAAGGGCGAUAUCUAUUUAAAGAUUAAUGCUUGCCUUUUUGCUCCGACACUCUCCGUGCAGGCUCGGGACAGUCAGCCAGGCAGGUGUCAAUAUUACUGAAAACCAACAUUAAUAAUCCUGUAGAAUAAUUUAUACUCUUCUAAGUUCCCCCACACAUUAUAACGGUCAGAGGUCGCGUUAUUUCGAUCCCUGGGCAGCCUCCGGGUAUCGUAUUCAUAAACAAGUGCAGCGGAAGUUUGGCAGCAAGUUUUUGCGUAUUUACGAGCUACGGCAGUGCUUCGGCACCGGUUACUGGGGGCACGAUGUGCAGCAAUCCCAAUUCCCAUGUCCUAUCAGGGGGUAGGUGUUAUAAAACCGUGAACGGACUUCUACGAAGUGAUUAAACAGCAACUUCUGUCUAAUGGAUAUGACGUUAACCCAAAGGCGCAUUU